AGUGAACGCUGGCGGUAGGCCUAGCACAUGCAAGUCGAACGGCAGCACAAGAGAGCUUGCUCUCUGGGUGGCGAGUGGCGGACGGGUGAGGAAUACAUCGGAAUCUACUCUGUCGUGGGGGAUAACGUAGGGAAACUUACGCUAAUACCGCAUACGACCUACGGGUGAAAGCAGGGGACCUUCGGGCCUUGCGCGAUUGAAUGAGCCGAUGUCGGAUUAGCUAGUUGGCGGGGUAAAGGCCCACCAAGGCGACGAUCCGUAGCUGGUCUGAGAGGAUGAUCGGCCACACUGGAACUGAGACACGGUCCAGACUCCUACGGGAGGCAGCAGUGGGGAAUAUUGGACAAUGGGCGCAAGCCUGAUCCAGCCAUACCGCGUGGGUGAAGAAGGCCUUCGGGUUGUAAAGCCCUUUUGUUGGGAAAGAAAUCCAGCUGGCUAAUACCCGGUUGGGAUGACGGUACCCAAAGAAUAAGCACCGGCUAACUUCGUGCCAGCCGCCGCGGUAA
rnacentral:rRNA from 1 species